rnacentral:rRNA from 1 species
GACGAACGCUGGCGGCGUGCUUAACACAUGCAAGUCGAGCGGAAAGGCCCUUUCGGGGGUACUCGAGCGGCGAACGGGUGAGUAACACGUGAGUAAUCUGCCCCUGGCUUUGGGAUAGCCACCGGAAACGGUGAUUAAUACCGGAUACGACCACUUCUCGCAUGGGAUGGUGGUGGAAAGUUUUUCGGCCAGGGAUGUGCUCGCGGCCUAUCAGCUUGAUGGUGAGGUAAUGGCUCACCAUGGCUUCGACGGGUAGCCGGCCUUAGAGGGUGACCGGUCACACUGGGACUGAGACACGGCCCAGACUCCUACGGGAGGCAACAGUGGGGAAUAUUGGACAAUGGGCGGAAGCCUGAUCCAGCAACGCCGCGUGAGGGAUGACGGCCUUCGGGUUGUAAACCUCUUUCAGCAGGGACGAAGCGCAAGUGACGGUACCUGCAGAAGAAGCACCGGCCAACUACGUGCCAGCCGCCGCGGUAA